rnacentral:rRNA from 1 species
AUUGAACGCUGGCGGCAUGCCUUACACAUGCAAGUCGAACGGCAGCACGGGAGCAAUCCUGGUGGCGAGUGGCGAACGGGUGAGUAAUAUAUCGGAACGUGCCCAGUAGUGGGGAUACUGCUCGAAAGAGCAGCUAAUGCCGCAUACGACCUGAGGGUGAAAGGGGGGGAUCGCAAGACCUCUCGCUAUUGGAGCGGCCGAUAUCGGAUUAGCUAGUUGGUGGGGUAAAGGCCUACCAAGGCAACGAUCUGUAGUUGGUCUGAGAGGACGACCAGCCACACUGGGACUGAGACACGGCCCAGACUCCUACGGGAGGCAGCAGUGGGGAAUUUUGGACAAUGGGCGCAAGCCUGAUCCAGCAAUGCCGCGUGCAGGAAGAAGGCCUUCGGGUUGUAAACUGCUUUUGUCAGGGAAGAAAUCCUCUAGGUUAAUACCCUUGGGGGGAUGACGGUACCUGAAGAAUAAGCACCGGCUAACUACGUGCCAGCCGCCGCCGUAAUAC